rnacentral:tRNA from 1 species
GCCCCGGUAGUUCAAUGGAUAGAACUGUGGACUUCUAAGCCACUAAUGGGGGUUCAAUUCCCUCCCGGGGCACCA